rnacentral:rRNA from 1 species
GGACUACCGGGGUAUCUAAUCCCAUUCGCUCCCCUAGCUUUCGUCCCUGAGUGUCAGUUGCAGUCCAGUAGAGCGCUUUCGCCACCGAUGUUCUUCCCGAGCUCUACGCAUUUCACCGCUACACCGGGAAUUCCCUCUACCCCUACUGCACUCUAGCUUUUCAGUUUCCACGGCCUUUCCAGGGUUAAGCCCCAGUCUUUGACCGCAGACUUGAAUAGCCACCUGCGGACGCUUUACGCCCAAUAAUUCCGGAUAACGCUUGCCUCCUCCGUAUUACCGCGGCGGCUGGCAC